rnacentral:rRNA from 1 species
CCUACGGGAGGCAGCAGUGGGGUAUAUUGCACAAUGGGGGAAACCCUGAUGCAGCAACGCCGCGUGAGUGAAGAAGUAUUUCGGCAUGUAAAGCUCUAUCAGCAGGGAAGAAGAUGACGGUACCUGAUCAAGAAGCCCCGGCUAACUACGUGCCAGCAGCCGCGGUAAUACGUAGGGGGCAAGCGUUAUCCGGAUUUACUGGGUGUAAAGGGGGCGCAGACGGCAGUGCAAGUCUGGAGUGAAAGCCCGGGGCCCAACCCCGGCACUGCUCUGGAAACUGGACGGCUAGAGUACUGGAGGGGCAGGCGGAAUUCCUAGUGUAGCGGUGAAAUGCGUAGAUAUUAGGAGGAACACCAGUGGCGAAGGCGGCCUGCUGGACAGUAACUGACGUUGAGGCUCGAAAGCGUGGGGAGCAAACAGGAUUAGAUACCCGAGUAGUC